GGCUCAGGAUAAACGCUGGCGGCGCACAUAAGACAUGCAAGUCGAACGGACUUAACUCAUUCUUUUAGAUUGAGAGCGGUUAGUGGCGGACUGGUGAGUAACGCGUGAGCAACCUGCCUAUCAGAGGGGAAUAACAGUGAGAAAUCAUUGCUAAUACCGCAUAUGCUCACAGCAUCACAUGAUGCAGUGAGGAAAGGAGCAAUCCGCUGAUAGAUGGGCUCGCGUCUGAUUAGCUAGUUGGUGGGGUAAAAGCCUACCAAGGCGACGAUCAGUAGCCGGACUGAGAGGUUGAACGGCCACAUUGGGACUGAGAUACGGCCCAGACUCCUACGGGAGGCAGCAGUCGGGAAUAUUGCGCAAUGGAGGGAACUCUGACGCAGUGACGCCGCGUAUAGGAAGAAGGUUUUCGGAUUGUAAACUAUUGUCGUUAGGGAAGAAAAAAGACAGUACCUAAGGAGGAAGCCCCGGCUAACUAUGUGCC
rnacentral:rRNA from 1 species